rnacentral:rRNA from 1 species
UACGUAGGGUGCAAGCGUUAAUCGGAAUUACUGGGCGUAAAGCGUGCGCAGGCGGUUAUGUAAGACAGAUGUGAAAUGCCCGGGCUUAACCUGGGAACUGCAUUUGUGACUGCAUGGCUAGAGUGUGUCAGAGGGGGGUAGAAUUCCACGUGUAGCAGUGAAAUGCGUAGAUAUGUGGAGGAACACCAGUGGCGAAGGCGGCCACCUAGCCCGCACCUGACGCUGAGGCGCGACAGCGUGGGGAGCGAACUGG